AGCGAACGCUGGCGGCAGGCUUAACACAUGCAAGUCGAGCGGGCAUCCUUGUGGUGUCAGCGGCAGACGGGUGAGUAACGCGUGGGAACGUGCCCUUCGGUUCGGAAUAACUCAGGGAAACUUGAGCUAAUACCGGAUACGCCCUUUUGGGGAAAGGUUUACUGCCGAAGGAUCGGCCCGCGUCUGAUUAGCUAGUUGGUGAGGUUAUGGCUCACCAAGGCGACGAUCAGUAGCUGGUCUGAGAGGAUGAUCAGCCACACUGGGACUGAGACACGGCCCAGACUCCUACGGGAGGCAGCAGUGGGGAAUAUUGGACAAUGGGGGCAACCCUGAACCAGCCAUGCCGCGUGAGUGAUGACGGCCUUAGGGUUGUAAAGCUCUUUUCUCCGGGACGAUAAUGACGGUACCGGAGGAAUAAGCCCCGGCUAACUUCGUG
rnacentral:rRNA from 1 species